rnacentral:rRNA from 1 species
CGUAGUUGGAUGUCGGGCACGUGCGCACGGUCCGCCGAAAGGUGUGCACUGUGGUCUGUGCGUGCCCUCUUUCCGUAGGCCGCGUGUGCCCUUAACUGGGUGUGCGCGGGAUGCGGAUCUUUUACUUUGAAUAAAAUAGAGUGUUCAAAGCAGGCUUUCGCUUGAAUACUGCAGCAUGGAAUAAUGGAAUAGGACUUUGGUUCUAUUUUGUUGGUUUCUAGGACCGAAGUAAUGA